rnacentral:rRNA from 1 species
ACCAUCCCUUGACAUACUUGUCGCGGAUCGGGAGACCGAUCUUUCAGUUCGGCUGGACAAGAUACAGGUGCUGCAUGGCUGUCGUCAGCUCGUGUCGUGAGAUGUUGGGUUAAGUCCCGCAACGAGCGCAACCCUCGCCAUUAGUUGCCAGCAUUCAGUUGGGCACUCUAGUGGAACCGCCGGUGAUAAGCCGGAGGAAGGUGGGGAUGACGUCAAGUCCUCAUGGCCCUUACGGGAUGGGCUACACACGUGCUACAAUGGCAGUGACAAUGGGUUAAUCCCCAAAAGCUGUCUCAGUUCGGAUUGGGGUCUGCAACUCGACCCCAUGAAGUUGGAAUCGCUAGUAAUCGCGUAACAGCAUGACGCGGUGAAUACGUUCCCGGGCCUUGUACACACCGCCCGUCACACCAUGGGAGUUGGGUUUACCCG